AUUGAACGCUGGCGGCAUGCUUUACACAUGCAAGUCGGACGGCAGCACAGAGAAGCUUGCUUCUUGGGUGGCGAGUGGCGAACGGGUGAGUAACAUAUCGGAACGUACCGAGCAGUGGGGGAUAACUAAUCGAAAGAUUAGCUAAUACCGCAUAUAUUCUGAGGAAGAAAGCAGGGGACCAUUUGGCCUUGCGCUGUUGAGCGGCCGAUAUCUGAUUAGCUGGUUGGUGGGGUAAAGGCCUACCAAGGCGACGAUCAGUAGCGGGUCUGAGAGGAUGACCGCCACACUGGGACUGAGACACGGCCCAGACUCCUACGGGAGGCAGCAGUGGGGAAUUUUGGACAAUGGGCACAAGCCUGAUCCAGCCAUGCCGCGUGUCUGAAGAAGGCCUUCGGGUUGUAAAGGACUUUUGUCCAGGGAAGAAAAGGGCGGGGCUAAUACCCCUGUCUGAUGACGGUACCUGAAGAAUAGCACCGCUAACUA
rnacentral:rRNA from 1 species